rnacentral:rRNA from 1 species
CGGCGUGCUUAACACAUGCAAGUCGAACGAAGAGCGAUGGAAGCUUGCUUCUAUCAAUCUUAGUGGCGAACGGGUGAGUAACGCGUAAUCAACCUGCCCUUCAGAGGGGGACAACAGUUGGAAACGACUGCUAAUACCGCAUACGAUCUAACCUCGGCAUCGAGGAUAGAUGAAAGGUGGCCUCUAUUUAUAAGCUAUCACUGAAGGAGGGGAUUGCGUCUGAUUAGCUAGUUGGAGGGGUAACGGCCCACCAAGGCGAUGAUCAGUAGCCGGUCUGAGAGGAUGAACGGCCACAUUGGGACUGAGACACGGCCCAGACUCCUACGGGAGGCAGCAGUGGGGAAUCUUCCGCAAUGGACGAAAGUCUGACGGAGCAACGCCGCGUGAGUGAUGACGGCCUUCGGGUUGUAAAGCUCUGUUAAUCGGGACGAAAGGCCUUCUUGCGAAUAGUUAGAAGGAUUGACGGUACCGGAAUAGAAAGCCACGGCUAACUACGUGCCAGCAGCCGCGGUAAUACGUAGGUGGCAAGCGUUGUCCGGAAUUAUUGGGCGUAAAGCGCGCGCAGGCGGAUUGGUCAGUCUGUCUUAAAAGUUCGGGGCUUAACCCCGUGAUGGGAUGGAAACUGCCAAUCUAGAGUAUCGGAGAGGAAAGUGGAAUUCCUAGUGUAGCGGUGAAAUGCGUAGAUAUUAGGAAGACAC